CAGCAGCGCUCAUGUGAAAAUUAGAGAUAUGGACUAGUGGAAACUGCCCCGUCCAACCUUUCCAGCAUUGUAUUCUGCAUCAAUUUUGUCCAUCUCAACAAACGUCCUGCAGCCAACCAUUUUUGUCAUUCAUCCAAGUAAAGAUGGUCCCAUGCCAGCAGAACACUGCAUUGCAAUACAAACAACGGCACAUCUCACAUUUAUCACUAUGGCUUUGCACCACUAUCCCCAUCACCUAGCAUUUCCAGUUGUUUGCUCCACUGGCAUCCUUUCAAGAUGGUGAGAAAGAGGAAUCACAAGACACCAGCUAAACAUGAAGGGCAGCACAAAUGGCAUCCACUUACAACCUACUCCCUCCGUC
rnacentral:lncRNA from 1 species